AGAGUUUGAUCCUGGCUCAGAUUGAACGCUGGCGGCAUGCCUUACACAUGCAAGUCGAACGGCAGCAUGAUCUAGCUUGCUAGAUUGAUGGCGAGUGGCGAACGGGUGAGUAAUACAUCGGAACGUGCCCUGUAGUGGGGGAUAACUAGUCGAAAGAUUAGCUAAUACCGCAUACGACCUGAGGGUGAAAGUGGGGGACCGCAAGGCCUCAUGCUAUAGGAGCGGCCGAUGUCUGAUUAGCUAGUUGGUGGGGUAAAGGCCCACCAAGGCGACGAUCAGUAGCUGGUCUGAGAGGACGAUCAGCCACACUGGGACUGAGACACGGCCCAGACUCCUACGGGAGGCAGCAGUGGGGAAUUUUGGACAAUGGGCGAAAGCCUGAUCCAGCAAUGCCGCGUGUGUGAAGAAGGCCUUCGGGUUGUAAAGCACUUUUGUCCGGAAAGAAAUGGCUCUGGUUAAUACCUGGGGUCGAUGACGGUACCGGAAGAAUAAGGACCGGCUAACUACGUGCCAGCAGCCGCGGUAAUACGUAGG
rnacentral:rRNA from 1 species